rnacentral:rRNA from 1 species
AAUGGGCGAAAGCCUGAUCCAGCCAUCCCGCGUGAGUGAUGAAGGCUCUAGGGUCGUAAAGCUCUGUGGAGAGAGACGAACGUUAGGGAACAAUACCCCUUAAUCUGACGGUAUCUCUUUAGCAAGCACCGGCUAACUCCGUGCCAGCAGCCGCGGUAAUACGGAGGGUGCAAACGUUGCUCGGAAUCAUUGGGCGUAAAGCGCGCGUAGGCGGCUUGAUUAGUCGGAUGUGAAAGCCCUCGGCUUAACCGGGGAAGUGCAUUCGAAACUGUCAGGCUUGAGUAUGGGAGAGGGUUGCGGAAUUCCCGGUGUAGAGGUGAAAUUCGUAGAUAUCGGGAGGAACACCAGAGGCGAAGGCGGCAGCCUGGACCAAUACUGACGCUGAGGUGCGAAAGCGUGGGGAGCAAACAGGAUU